rnacentral:rRNA from 1 species
GAUAAACGCUGGCGGCGUGCCUAAUACAUGCAAGUCGAGCGAACGGACGAGAAGCUUGCUUCUCUGAUGUUAGCGGCGGACGGGUGAGUAACACGUGGAUAACCUACCUAUAAGACUGGGAUAACUUCGGGAAACCGUAGCUAACACCGGAUAAUAUUUUGAACCGCAUGGUUCAAAAGUGAAAGACGGUCUUGCUGUCACUUAUAGAUGGAUCCGCGCUGCAUUAGCUAGUUGGUAAGGUAACGGCUUACCAAGGCAACGAUGCAUAGCCGACCUGAGAGGGUGAUCGGCCACACUGGAACUGAGACACGGUCCAGACUCCUACGGGAGGCAGCAGUAGGGAAUCUUCCGCAAUGGGCGAAAGCCUGACGGAGCAACGCCGCGUGAGUGAUGAAGGUCUUCGGAUCGUAAAACUCUGUUAUUAGGGAAGAACAUAUGUGUAAGUAACUGUGCACAUCUUGACGGUACCUAAUCAGAAAGCCACGGCUAACUACGUG